AUUGAACGCUGGCGGCAGGCCUAACACAUGCAAGUCGAGCGAGCGGCGGACGGGUGAGUAAUGUCUGGGGAUCUGCCCGAUAGAGGGGGAUAACUACCGGAAACGGCUGCUAAUUCCGCAUUCCUUCGGAUGUACCCAUAUGGGAUUAGCUAGUAGGUGGGGUAAAGGCUCACCUAGGCGACGAUCUCUAGCUGGUCUGAGAGGAUGAUCAGCCACACUGGGACUGAGACACGGCCCAGACUCCUACGGGAGGCAGCAGUGGGGAAUAUUGCACAAUGGGCGCAAGCCUGAUGCAGCCAUGCCGCGUGUAGGAAGAAGGCCUUAGGGUUGUAAAGUACUUUCAGCGGGGAGGCGUUACCCGCAGAAGAAGCACCGGCUAACUCCGUGCCAGCAGCCGCGGUAAUAC
rnacentral:rRNA from 1 species